rfam:Polysphondylium pallidum PN500 unplaced genomic scaffold PPL_scaffold8, whole genome shotgun sequence.
GGCUCCAUAGUUGAAUGGUACAAUAUUAUCUUAGGGUGAUAGUGGUCUGGGUUCGAUUCCCGGUGGAGCCC